rnacentral:rRNA from 1 species
UACGUAGGGGGCAAGCGUUGUUCGGAAUUACUGGGCGUAAAGGGCGCGUAGGCGGCACGGCAAGUCAGGAGUGAAAGCCCGGGGCUCAACCCCGGAAUGUCUUUUGAAACUGCCGAGCUAGAGUGCGGAAGAGGCAACUGGAAUUCCCAGUGUAGCGGUGAAAUGCGUAGAUAUCUGGAGGAACACCGGUGGCGAAGGCGGCAUCCUGGACCGGUAUUGACGCUGAGGCGCGAAAGCCAGGGGAGCAAACGGG